UGUAGGUGAACCUGCAGAUGGAUCAUUUC
rnacentral:rRNA from 6 species